rnacentral:rRNA from 1 species
CCUACGGGAGGCAGCAGUGAGGAAUAUUGGUCAAUGGGCGAGAGCCUGAACCAGCCAAGUCGCGUGAAGGAUGAAGGAUAUAUGGUUUGUAAACUUCUUUUAUAUGGGAAUAAAGUGAGGAACGUGUUCCUUUUUGUAUGUACCAUAUGAAUAAGCAUCGGCUAACUCCGUGCCAGCAGCCGCGGUAAUACGGAGGAUGCGAGCGUUAUCCGGAUUUAUUGGGUUUAAAGGGUGCGUAGGGGGUUAAUUAAGUUAGCGGUGAAAGUUUGUGGCUCAACCAUAAAAUUGCCGUUGAAAGUGGGUGACUUGAGUAUAUUUGAGGUAGGCGGAAGGGGUGGUGGAGCGGGGAAAUGCAUAGAUAUCACGCAGAACUCCGAUGGCGAAGGCAGCUUACUAAACUAUAACUGACACUGAAGCACGAAAGCGUGGGGAUCAAACAGGAUUAGAUACCCGAGUAGUC